UGGUCGACGCUGGCGGCGUGCUUAACACAUGCAAGUCGAACGCUGAAGUCAGAGCUUGCUCUGGUGGAUGAGUGGCGAACGGGUGAGUAACACGUGAGUAACCUGCCCCUGACUCUGGGAUAAGCGCUGGAAACGGCGUCUAAUACUGGAUAUGAGCAACGGUCGCAUGGCCUGUUGUUGGAAAGAUUUAUCGGUUGGGGAUGGACUCGCGGCCUAUCAGCUUGUUGGUGAGGUAAUGGCUCACCAAGGCGACGACGGGUAGCCGGCCUGAGAGGGUGACCGGCCACACUGGGACUGAGACACGGCCCAGACUCCUACGGGAGGCAGCAGUGGGGAAUAUUGCACAAUGGGCGCAAGCCUGAUGCAGCAACGCCGCGUGAGGGAUGACGGCCUUCGGGUUGUAAACCUCUUUUAGUAGGGAAGAAGCGAAAGUGACGGUACCUGCAGAAAAAGCACCGGCUAACUACGUGCCAGCAGCCGCGGUAAUACGUAGGGUGCAAGCGUUGUCCGGAAUUAUUGGGCGUAAAGAGCUCGUAGGCGGCUUGUCGCGUCUGCUGUGAAAUCCCGGAGCUCAACUCCGGGCCUGCAGUGGGUACGGGCAGGCUAGAGUGCGGUAGGGGAGAUUGGAAUUCCUGGUGUAGCGGUGGAAUGCGCAGAUAUCAGGAGGAACACCGAUGGCGAAGGCAGAUCUCUGGGCCGUAACUGACGCUGAGGAGCGAAAGCAUGGGGAGCGAACAGGAUUAGAUACCCUGGUAGUCCAUGCCGUAAACGUUGGGAACUAGAUGUAGGGCCUGUUCCACGGGUUCUGUGUCGUAGCUAACGCAUUAAGUUCCCCGCCUGGGGAGUACGGCCGCAAGGCUAAAACUCAAAGGAAUUGACGGGGGCCCGCACAAGCGGCGGAGCAUGCGGAUUAAUUCGAUGCAACGCGAAGAACCUUACCAAGGCUUGACAUAUUCGAGAACGCUCUAGAAAUAGAGAACUCUUUGGACACUCGUUUACAGGUGGUGCAUGGUUGUCGUCAGCUCGUGUCGUGAGAUGUUCGGUUAAGUCCGGCAACGAGCGCAACCCUCGUCCUAUGUUGCCAGCACGUUAUGGUGGGAACUCAUGGGAUACUGCCGUGGUCAACACGGAGGAAGGUGGGGAUGACGUCAAAUCAUCAUGCCCCUUAUGUCUUGGGCUUCACGCAUGCUACAAUGGCCGGUACAAUGGGCUGCGAUACCGCGAGGUGGAGCGAAUCCCAAAAAGCCGGUCUCAGUUCGGAUUGGGGUCUGCAACUCGACCCCAUGAAGUCGGAGUCGCUAGUAAUCGCAGAUCAGCAACGCUGCGGUGAAUACGUUCCCGGGCCUUGUACACACCGCCCGUCAAGUCAUGAAAGUCGGUAACACCCGAAGCCGAUGGCCUAACCCUUGUGGAGGGAGUCGUCGAAGGUGGGACUGGUGAUAGAGCCUU
rnacentral:rRNA from 1 species